ACCUGAUCAUCAGAUUUCAGAACUCCGACAAUGCUCUUUCCAGCUGCGCAGAUGCCUGUGGCUGCUGCUGCUGCUGUUGCAUGGCCUGCACCACUUCGGUGAGGCCCCUGAUCUGCUGAACCAGCAAGUCGAACUGCUCCAUGCCGACUGCCAUUGUUGGAGGAGGAGGAUCCUGAGAAACUGGAGAUGAGGCUAGAGCUGGUGGAUCUCGCUGAGAUCUAGCCAUGGAGGCCGUAGAUCGCCUGGUGGAAGCC
rnacentral:lncRNA from 1 species